rnacentral:rRNA from 1 species
UAAUUGAAGAGUUUGAUCAUGGCUCAGAUUGAACGCUGGCGGCAGGCCUAACACAUGCAAGUCGAGCGGUAACAGGGGAAGCUUGCUUCCCGCUGACGAGCGGCGGACGGGUGAGUAAUGUAUGGGGAUCUGCCCGAUAGAGGGGGAUAACUACUGGAAACGGUAGCUAAUACCGCAUAAUCUCUCAGGAGCAAAGCAGGGGAACUUCGGUCCUUGCACUAUCGGAUGAACCCAUAUGGGAUUAGCUAGUUGGUGAGGUAAUGGCUCACCAAGGCGACGAUCCCUAGCUGGUCUGAGAGGAUGAUCAGCCACACUGGGACUGAGACACGGCCCAGACUCCUACGGGAGGCAGCAGUGGGGAAUAUUGC